GACGAACGCUGGCGGCGUGCUUAACACAUGCAAGUCGAACGGAGAUUAUUAAUGAAGCUUGCGAUUUAAUAAUCUUAGUGGCGGACGGGUGAGUAACGCGUGGGCAACCUACCCAUAAGAGGGGGAUAACAGUUGGAAACGACUGCUAAUACCGCAUAAGCUAUUGAGGUCGCAUGACCUUAAUAGUAAAGGUGGCGCUUGUUUACAAGCUAUCACUUAUGGAUGGGCCCGCGUCUGAUUAGCUAGUUGGUGGGGUAGAAGCCUACCAAGGCAACGAUCAGUAGCCGGCCUGAGAGGGUGGACGGCCACACUGGGACUGAGACACGGCCCAGACUCCUACGGGAGGCAGCAGUGGGGAAUAUUGCGCAAUGGGGGAAACCCCUGGACGCAGCGACGCCGCGUGAGCGAUGAAGGCCUUAGGGUCGUAAAGCUCUGUUGUAAGGGACGAAUGUUUAUCUUGGCCAAUAGUCAGACUAAAGUGACGGUACCUUACCAGCAAGCCCCGGUA
rnacentral:rRNA from 1 species